ensembl:lncRNA
AUGCUUAUAAAGCUACGCAACAAGGGAAACCACAUUCAUAACUCGGAGGUCUUAGCAAGUGGAGUUGGAUCCUUAAAACUAAGACGCACAGCAAAGACAAGAUACAAUGCAAAAGACUAUAUUCACUGCAUGUACUGCCAGGCAUUAUAUCUCCGAAGAGAUCUGUGGCGACAUGUGAAGAAAUGUUCUUCAAAACCAGUAGAAGCCAAUUCAGAGAUUGGAAGAAAAAAGGUAUUGUCUUUGGCCUCUAUGAAUGAGUCAGCUCUUUCUCAGCAAAUAUCCCCAGGUGUUUGGAAGAUUUUAGCUGUGAUGAAAGACGAUGAGAUAACUGCUACUGUGCGAAGUGACUAUUCUAUUCUUCAGCUGGCCCAGUCAUUUUUUAAUAAACAUGCACAGGAUCCCACCAAAUAUGACUAUAUUCGCCAGACACUCAGAGAAAGUGGAAGACUUCUGCUUACGCUUCGCAAGGAAUUCUCAAUACAAACUCUUGAAGAUGCUGUGAGACCAGCAAAUUUUGAUGUAGUGAUCAAAGCUGUUAAGAAAGUGUCUGGGUACGAUGACGAAAAGCACUGCUACCGUACUCCAAGCCUUGCAUUAAAGUUGGGUCACUCACUCCAGAAAGUCAGUGACAUUUUACAUUGUAAAGCACUGAUGGCAGAAGACAGUAACCUGAUAAAGUCAACCCAGAGUUUUAAAACCCUCUAUGCUACAAAGUGGUCAGAACUCAUCUCCCACACUGCUUUAACUACGCUAAAUGAGCGCCACUUUAACAAGCCUUCCACUCUUCUUUUUACGAAAGAUGUUCAGUGUCUUCAUAGACAUCUGGAGAAGUCUACAGAACAAGCAUUGAAGGACUUGGAUGACCACAGUUCACCAAAAUCAUAUAGUGAACUUUGUAAAGCCACCAUGGCAAAUGUAAUACUUUUUAAUAGAAGAAGAGGGGGAGAAGUUUCAAAGAUGACGCUGAAUGGUUUUCUGGAGAGAGACAAGUGCCCUGCACAAGGAUGUCGCUUUUGGACUGACACAAUUUGA